GACACAUCACAUCAUCUGACACCAACUAACGCUGAAUUUACAAAGGGACAUCACCCAAGCUGAACUGCCACAGACUUGGAAGCAGCUGUAGAGCCGGAGUAUCUGCCGUCCCGCUGAGAAAUCCAGAGCAUCACAACGCCCAGAGAAAUACAAGAUGGCUGCUAAGCGUGUCGCUCGUCCUUUUGAAUACCCCGAAGACGAAGAGGACAGGGCAGCAUUCAGAGACAAAACACUGCGUGGCAAUAAAGACAUUCUGUAUUAUCAUACAGGUGCUGAUGGUCAUACAUGCAGCCUCAUGUAUUUCAGCACACGUGUCAGAGAAUGGUUGGAUACACUGAAGCAACAAUACCCUAAACUUCAGGAAACUCAA